GUUUGGUCCAAGUGCCGAGGUGUUUACAACUAAUUGAUCAUAACCAGUUACAGAUUGCUUUGUGCCUUCUCCACUACCACUGCUUCACUUGAGUAGCCUUGA
rnacentral:Y_RNA from 1 species